UUCGUAGGCAGCGAGCGUUGUUCGGAGUUACUGGGCGUAAAGGGUGUGUAGGCGGUUGUUUAAGUUUGGUGUGAAAUCUCCCGGCUCAACUGGGAGGGUGCGCCGAAUACUGAAUGACUUGGAGUGCGGGAGAGGAGAGUGGAAUUCCUGGUGUAGCGGUGAAAUGCGUAGAUAUCAGGAGGAACACCGGUGGUGUAGACGGCUCUCUGGACCGUAACUGACGCUGAGGAGCGAAAGCGUGGGGAGCGAACAGG
rnacentral:rRNA from 1 species